rnacentral:rRNA from 1 species
UACAGAGGUCCCAAGCGUUGUUCGGAUUCACUGGGCGUAAAGGGUGCGUAGGCGGUCGGGUAAGUCUGACGUGAAAUCUUCAAGCUCAACUUGGAAACUGCGUCCGAUACUAUUCGGCUAGAGGAAUGGAGGGGAGACUGGAAUACUUGGUGUAGCAGUGAAAUGCGCAGAUAUCAGGAAGAACACCAAUGGCGAAGGCAGCUCUCUGGGACGGUACUGACGCUGAGACGCGAAAGCGUGGGGAGCGAACAGG